GUGCUUACUUCAGCAGCACGUAUACUAAAAUUGGAACAAAACAGAGAAGAUUAGCAUGGCCCCUGCACAAGGAUGACAUGCAAAUUCGUGAAGUGUUCCAUUUUUUU